rnacentral:rRNA from 1 species
GACGAACGCUGGCGGCGUGCUUAACACAUGCAAGUCGAACGGAAAGGCCCUGCUUUUGUGGGGUGCUCGAGUGGCGAACGGGUGAGUAACACGUGAGUAACCUGCCCUUGACUUUGGGAUAACUUCAGGAAACUGGGGCUAAUACCGGAUAGGAGCUCCUGCUGCAUGGUGGGGGUUGGAAAGUUUCGGCGGUUGGGGAUGGACUCGCGGCUUAUCAGCUUGUUGGUGGGGUAGUGGCUUACCAAGGCUUUGACGGGUAGCCGGCCUGAGAGGGUGACCGGCCACAUUGGGACUGAGAUACGGCCAGACUCCUACGGGAGGCAGCAGUGGGGAAUAUUGCACAAUGGGCGGAAGCCUGAUGCAGCAACGCCGCGUGCGGGAUGACGGCCUUCGGGUUGUAAACCGCUUUCGCCUGUGACGAAGCGUGAGUGACGGUAAUGGGUAAAGAAGCACCGGCUAACUACGUGCCAGCAGCCGCGGUGAUACGUAGGGUGCGAGCGUUGUCCGGAUUUAUUGGGCGUAAAGGGCUCGUAGGUGGUUGAUCGCGUCGGAAGUGUAAUCUUGGGGCUUAACCCUGAGCGUGCUUUCGAUACGGGUUGACUUGAGGAAGGUAGGGGAGAAUGGAAUUCCUGGUGGAGCGGUGGAAUGCGCAGAUAUCAGGAGGAACACCAGUGGCGAAGGCGGUUCUCUGGGCCUUUCCUGACGCUGAGGAGCGAAAGCGUGGGGAGCGAACAGGCUUAGAUACCCUGGUAGUCCACGCUGUAAACGGUGGGUACUAGGUGUGGGGUCCAUUCCACGGGUUCCGUGCCGUAGCUAACGCUUUAAGUACCCCGCCUGGGGAGUACGGCCGCAAGGCUAAAACUCAAAGGAAUUGACGGGGCCCCGCACAAGCGGCGGAGCAUGCGGAUUAAUUCGAUGCAACGCGUAGAACCUUACCUGGGUUUGACAUGGAUCGGAAGCGCUCAGAGAUGGGUGUGCCUCUUUUGGGGUCGGUUCACAGGUGGUGCAUGGCUGUCGUCAGCUCGUGUCGUGAGAUGUUGGGUUAAGUCCCGCAACGAGCGCAACCCUUGUUCACUGUUGCCAGCACGUUAUGGUGGGGACUCAGUGGAGACCGCCGGGGUCAACUCGGAGGAAGGUGGGGAUGACGUCAAGUCAUCAUGCCCCUUAUGUCCAGGGCUUCACGCAUGCUACAAUGGCUGGUACAGAGAGUGGCGAGCCUGUGAGGGUGAGCGAAUCUCGGAAAGCCGGUCUCAGUUCGGAUUGGGGUCUGCAACUCGACCUCAUGAAGUCGGAGUCGCUAGUAAUCGCAGAUCAGCAACGCUGCGGUGAAUACGUUCCCGGG